GACGAACGCUGGCGGCGUGCCUAACACAUGCAAGUCGAGCGGGGUUGAAGCGAGGGGUAACUCGAGUUUCUACCUAGCGGCGGACGGGUGAGUAACGCGUGGGCAACCUGCCUCAAGGACUGGGAUAACAGCUCGAAAGGGCUGCUAAUACCGGAUAAGCCUAUGGCCUCGCAUGGGGCCAUGAGCAAAGGGGAAACCCGCCUUGAGAUGGGCCCGCGUCCCAGUCAGCUAGUUGGUGAGGUGAAGGCUCACCAAGGCGACGACGGGUAGCCGGCCUGAGAGGGUGACCGGCCACGACUGGGACUGAGACACGGCCCAGACUCCUACGGGGGGCAGCAGUGGGGAAUCUUGCACAAUGGGCGAAAGCCUGAUGCAGCGACGCCGCGUGAGCGAAGAAGGCCUUCGGGUGUAAAGGCUCUGUCUGGAGGGACGAAGGAAGUGACGGUAACCUCCGGAGGAGCCACGGCUAACACGUGCCAGCGCCCGCGGAAAAGUCACGUCG
rnacentral:rRNA from 1 species